rnacentral:rRNA from 1 species
GAUGAACGCUGGCGGCGUGCCUAAUACAUGCAAGUCGAGCGAACAGACGAGGAGCUUGCUCCUCUGACGUUAGCGGCGGACGGGUGAGUAACACGUGGAUAACCUACCUAUAAGACUGGGAUAACUUCGGGAAACCGGAGCUAAUACCGGAUAAUAUAUUGAACCGCAUGGUUCAAUAGUGAAAGACGGUUUUGCUGUCACUUAUAGAUGGAUCCGCGCCGCAUUAGAUAGUUGGUAAGGUAACGGCUUACCAAGGCAACGAUGCGUAGCCGACCUGAGAGGGUGGUCGGCCACACGGGAGCUGAGACACGGUCCAGACUCCUACGGGAGGCAGCAGUAGGGAAUCUUCCGCAAUGGGCGAAAGCCUGACGGAGCAACGCCGCGUGUGUUAUGAAGGUCUUCGGAUCGUAAAACCCUGUUAUUAGGGAAGAACAACUUUGUAAGUAACUAUGCACGUCUUGACGGUACCUAAUCAGAAAGCCACGGCUAACUACGUG